AAGUCGUAACAAGGUAACCGUAGGUGAACCUGCGGAGGGAUCAUUACAGAGUUGCAAAACUCCCAACCAUUGUGAACACAACUUGUUGCUUCGGGGGCGACCCUGCCGUUUCGACGGCGAGCGCCCCCGGAGACCAUCAAACACUGCAUCUUUGCGUCGGAGUUUAAGUAAAUGAAACAACUUUCAACAACGGAUCUCUUGGCUCUC
rnacentral:misc_RNA from 1 species